CAUGUUUUCUUAUGCUUUUUUCUGAUCCAAAAACAUUUUUUUUUCAAUUUUUGAAAUUUCUCUGAAAAACUCAAAAAAAAUUCGAUGUCUCCCUUGCUCU
ensembl:ncRNA K03E5.9 ncRNA